ACAAAAUGGACUUGUCUACACAAUGCAGUUGGACCAUUCCACGAAUGUAAGUGGGCCAAGCACAAGCUAAGGUUUGACCCAUGGAUGAUCCUAACCACUCCUUUUCCUAUUUAUUGUUGAAUCUUUCAUUGGAUGAUCCAAGCCACAACUUUCCCCAUUAACUGCAGAUAAUCUUUCAUUGGCUGAUCUGAGCUACACCUUUUCCUAUUUACUUUUGAUCAAAUUUCCUCGGGCGAUCCAAUCUGUCAAUUGGUUUAACUUUCCCUAUUUAUAUUAAACCAUGUUCUAUGUUCUCUAACCAUAGCAAAAUUACAUACUGCAAAGAAGCAGUACAGGAAAUGUUCACUUUUGAUAUGGUCAAAGAUAUGGAAACAGGAGAAAUUUGGAGAAUGAAAAUUUUGGUUUUCUAAAAGAUGGGAGUAAAAAAAUUUAUGUUGAUUGGAUUGUCCAUCGCCAAAUAUAUGUAGGUAGAAGAAAAUUUGGAAGCCAAGCAGGGGAAAAGAACAUUCCGCCACUACUUUUCAAGAUUUUGGACACCAAUUUUUCUGGAGGAGGCUCAGUGACGUGUCUAUUGGGAGCUCGUCGUUGAAUUUUAUUGAGAAUAUGACAUCUUUAACCAACUUGUAAGACCAUAUGAUCUCAUCAUAUGUAGUAAUACUGAUCUAGUCCUAAGAAACAAUAUGCUUUCUGGUACUAUUCCAUCCACCAUUGGAAAACACCUAUUAUUGAUGCAAAUUCUAUGUGACGGGAGUGGACCCCACUGCCUUUAAUGUUUCUGGAAAAGGGUUUUUAGUAAUAUCAUGAUUCCUAUUGGGUUUCUGGAAUACGGGUUUUAAUGUUGAUAUGGUGGAGUACAAGAAUAUCAGCUUCACUGUUUAGGAUGUCGGGGAUCAAGACAAGAUCAGACCGUUAUGGAGGCACUAUUUCCAAAACACACAAGGACUCAUUUUUGUUGUUGACAGCAAUGACAGAGACCGUGUAGUUAAGGCAAGGGAUGAACUCCCAGGAUGCUGAAUGAGUUAAAUUUUCUUCAAAAAAGAAGCCAUGUGCAGUAAGCUUUUGGAUCAAAGCGAAGUUGAGAAUAGGGUGUUAGUUGAUAGCAAAUUGAUAACCAGUAGAGGCACAUCCAUUGAGUUCUUGCUUACAAUUGUUGAGAAGCUAUUUGGCUGCGAGAAGGCAUUGGAUCUUGCUGUCAAUAAGAACUUUAAAUAGACAUAUAACUAUUAUGUUGGCAUUGUACUUUUGUGAAUGGAUUAAAAUGAAUGAUUGUAUUUGAUUGAAUGAA